GACGAACGCUGGCGGCGUGCUUAACACAUGCAAGUCGAACGCUGAAGCUCAGCUUUUGUUGGGUGGAUGAGUGGCGAACGGGUGAGUAACACGUGAGUAACCUGCCUCCUUCUUUGGGAUAACGCCCGGAAACGGGUGCUAAUACUGGAUAUUCACUGGUCUUCGCAUGGGGGUUGGUGGAAAGGGUUUUUCUGGUGGGGGAUGGGCUCGCGGCCUAUCAGCUUGUUGGUGGGGUGAUGGCCUACCAAGGCUUUGACGGGUAGCCGGGCUGAGAGGGUGAACGGUAACAUUGGGACUGAGCUACGGCCCAGACUACGACGGGAGGCAGCAGUGGGGAAUAUUGCACAAUGGGCGCAAGCCUGAUGCAGCGACGCCGCGUGAGGGAUGGAGGCCUUCGGGUUGUGAACCUCUUUCGCUCAUGGUCAAGCCGCAACAAUGGUUGUGGUGAGGGUAGUGGGUAAAGAAGCGCCGGCUAACUACGUG
rnacentral:rRNA from 1 species